CCUACGGGUGGCAGCAGUGGGGGAUAUUGCACAAUGGGGGAAACCCUGAUGCAGCGACGCCGCGUGGGUGAAGAAGCGCCUCGGCGCGUAAAGCCCUGUCAGCAGGGAAGAAAAUGACGGUACCUGUAGAAGAAGCCCCGGCUAACUACGAGCCAGCAACCGCGGUAAUACGUAGGGUGCAAGCGUUAUCCGGAUUUACUGGGUGUAAAGGGGGCGCAGACGGCGGUGAAAGCCAGGAGUGAAAGCCCGGGGCCCAACCCCGGGACUGCACUUGGAACUGGGUGGCUAGAGUGCAGGAGGGGCAGGCGGAAUGCCGGGUGUAGCGGUGAAAUGCGUAGAUAUCAGGAGGAACACCGGUGGCGAAGGCGGCCUGCUGGACUGCAACUGACGUUGAGGCCCGAAAGCGUGGGGAGCAAACAGGAUUAGAUACCCUAGUAGUC
rnacentral:rRNA from 1 species